GACGAACCGAGCGAACGUUAUUCGGAAUCACUGGGCUUAAAGGGCGCGUAGGCGGGCGAUCAAGUCAGGGGUGAAAGCCCCCAGCUCAGCUGGGGAAGUGCCUCUGAUACUGGUCAUCUCGAGGGAGGUAGGGGCGUGCGGAACUUCCGGUGGAGCGGUGAAAUGCGUAGAUAUCGGAAGGAACGCCGGUGGCGAAAGCGGCGUACUGGACCUCUUCUGACGCUGAGGCGCGAAAGCUAGGGGAGCAAACGGG
rnacentral:rRNA from 1 species